AACGAACGCUGGCGGCAUGCCUAACACAUGCAAGUCGAACGAGACCUUCGGGUCUAGUGGCGCACGGGUGCGUAACGCGUGGGAACCUGCCCUUAGGUUCGGAAUAACUCCCCGAAAGGGGUGCUAAUACCGGAUAAUGUCUUCGGACCAAAGAUUUAUCGCCUUUGGAUGGGCCCGCGUUGGAUUAGCUAGUUGGUAGGGUAAAAGCCUACCAAGGCGACGAUCCAUAGCUGGACUGAGAGGAUGAUCAGCCACACUGGGACUGAGACACGGCCCAGACUCCUACGGGAGGCAGCAGUGGGGAAUAUUGGACAAUGGGCGAAAGCCUGAUCCAGCAAUGCCGCGUGAGUGAUGAAGGCCUUAGGGUUGUAAAGCUCUUUUACCCGGGAUGAUAAUGACAGUACCGGGAGAAUAAGCUCCGGCUAACUCCGU
rnacentral:rRNA from 1 species